rnacentral:rRNA from 1 species
CGUGUAGGUGGCUUGGAAAGUUGGAUGUGAAAGCCCGGGGCUCAACCCGGAAUUGCAUUCAAUACUACCUCGCUAGAGUCCCGGAGAGGAAGGCGGAAUUCCCGGUGUAGAGGUGAAAUUCGUAGAUAUCGGGAGGAACACCAGUGGCGAAGGCGGCCUUCUGGACGGUGACUGACACUGAGACGCGAAAGCGUGGGGAGCAAACA